UUAAAAGAAGCCAUCAUCUUCUGCAUAUUUCUUCUGAAAACUCUCUAGUCACCUCCAUACGUAAAACAGAUAAAAAUCUAAAAGAGUAAAACGAGAGGUAACUGGUGAUGAGAACAUAGUCUAUCGUCCUCGAGGCCUAUCAUGAAUAUAUUUGUAAAUAUAUCUUGAAACACCACACCUAAUCUUUAUACUGUGGUUAACGUGGGAUGUGCUA